GUGGGGAAUUUUGGACAAUGGGCGCAAGCCUGAUCCAGCAAUGCCGCGUGCAGGAAGAAGGCCUUCGGGUUGUAAACUGCUUUUGUACGGAACGAAACGGUCCGGGUUAAUACCCUGGGCUAAUGACGGUACCGUAAGAAUAAGCACCGGCUAACUACGUGCCAGCAGCCGCGGUAAUACGUAGGGUGCAAGCGUUAAUCGGAAUUACUGGGCGUAAAGCGUGCGCAGGCGGUUUUGUAAGACAGGCGUGAAAUCCCCGGGCUCAACCUGGGAAUUGCGCUUGUGACUGCAAGGCUGGAGUGCGGCAGAGGGGGAUGGAAUUCCGCGUGUAGCAGUGAAAUGCGUAGAUAUGCGGAGGAACACCGAUGGCGAAGGCAAUCCCCUGGGCCUGCACUGACGCUCAUGCACGAAAGCGUGGGGAGCAAACAGGAUUAGAAUCCCUUGUAGUCC
rnacentral:rRNA from 1 species